CACGCACGGUGCACACGCAGGCCGCUGGUCGAGGGCUUCGCUGCGGACCGCGCCCCUGGCUGGAGUGACUGCCGUCCUGUCCUGGGAGAAUCUCGCCUCUUGCGCCCCGGAUCUCAGAGAGAAUCUUGUAUACCAUUAGUGGUGCACUUGGGGACACAUUGUGGUGUCUGUGGAGAGAAAGAAGAAGCUGACAUCUGAUACGAGAGGUCUCCGGAAGCUGCCUGGAGUUCACCAGCCUCCACUCCUUUGCCUGAGCUGAUUCCCCAUGAAGCGCUCUGUCACUUGCAAUCCUUCCUUCUUUGGGUCACCUUCUCCUGCAUCUCUCCUAAAGGAAGACAUUUUCUUUCCUCUGAAAUGCUCACUAGAGCCACACGGGGGACCCGGAAGAAAUUCAGGUUGCAGAACCAGGAGAGAGUCCGGUGUGACUACGCUGGUUGCAUGCCUGUGAAGCUGGUCCUAUCUCUGUGGCUGCAUGGACAGCGAGCAGCUGCCCCAAACUCAGUUCCACCCACAUCCGCACAUCCCAGUGAGUCCCCGUUGGACACAAGACCCACCACUUCCUUCUUCUCUGCGGAGCCACAUCCGAAUUCAGCCCUGAAGUUAUCUUCUUUAACUUUUCCCCAACAAUCUGCAGAAACAUGGGUCAGGUAACCUCCCAUUUGAAAUGUUGACAACCUCAGCUUCCUAAUAAAAUAAAAGCCUGCUUUC
rnacentral:lncRNA from 1 species